ACGCUGGCGGCGCGCCUAACUCAUGCAAGUCGAACGAUAGAUGAGGAGCUUGCUCUUCAUAUCGAGUGGCGAACGGGUGAGUAACGCGUGAGGAACCUGCCUCAAAGAGGGGGACUACAGUUGGAAACGACUGCUAAUACCGCAUAAGCCCACGGCUCGGCAUCGAGCAGAGGGAAAAGGAGCAAUCCGCUUUGAGAUGGCCUCGCGUCCGAUUAGCUAGUUGGUGAGGUAAAUGGCCCACCAAGGCUACGAUCGGUAGCCGGACUGAGAGGUUGAACGGCCACAUUGGGACUGAGACCCGGCCCAGACUCCUACGGGAGGCAGCAGUGGGGAAUAUUGCACAAUGGGGGAAACCCUGAUGCAGCGACGCCGCGUGGAGGAAGAAGGUCUUCGGAUUGUAAACUCCUGUUGUUGAGGAAGAUAAUGACGGUACUCAACAAGGAAGUGACGGCUAACUACGUGCCAGCAGCCGCGGUAAAACGUAGGUCACAAGCGUUGUCCGGAAUUACUGGGUGUAAAGGGAGCGCAGGCGGGAGAACAAGUUGGAAGUGAAAUCCAUGGGCUCAACCCAUGAACUGCUUUCAAAACUGUUUUUCUUGAGUAGUGCAGAGGUAGGCGGAAUUCCCGGUGUAGCGGUGGAAUGCGUAGAUAUCGGGAGGAACACCAGUGGCGAAGGCGGCCUACUGGGCACCAACUGACGCUGAGGCUCGAAAGUGUGGGUAGCAAACAGGAUUAGAUACCCUGGUAGUCCACACCGUAAACGAUGAUUAAAUAGGUGUUGGAGGAUUGACCCCUCCAGUGCCCCAGUUAACACAAAAAAUAAUCCACCUGCGGGGGUACGCCCACAAGGUGAAAAUCAAAAGGAAUUGACGGGGGCCCGCACAAGCAGUGGAGUAUGUGGUUUAAUUCGACGCAACGCGAAGAACCUUACCAAGUCUUGACAUCCUGCGACGCACAUAGAAAUAUGUGUUUCUUUCGGGACGCAGAGACAGGUGGUGCAUGGUUGUCGUCAGCUCGUGUCGUGAGAUGUUGGGUUAAGUCCCGCAACGAGCGCAACCCUUAUGGUCAGUUACUACGCAAGAGGACUCUGGCCAGACUGCCGUUGACAAAACGGAGGAAGGUGGGGAGGACGUCAAAUCAUCAUGCCCUUUAUGACUUGGGCUACACACGUACUACAAUGGCGUUAAACAAAGAGAAGCAAGACCGCGAGGUGGAGCAAAACUCAGAAACAACGUCCCAGUUCAGACUGCAGGCUGCAACUCGCCUGCACGAAGUCGGAAUUGCUAGUAAUCGUGGAUCAGCAUGCCACGGUGAAUACGUUCCCGGGCCUUGCACU
rnacentral:rRNA from 1 species